rnacentral:lncRNA from 1 species
UUUUUUCGUUUUUUUCUUAAUCUCGGGUCACUAUGGCUUAAUCUCAAGCCAAUAUGCUUAAUCUCAAGUCAAAUCGCACUUCAUGGUCAAACUUCCCAGAAGGUCACCCAUCCUGAUACUCGGGUAAGACAUUAUGAAUCUUGCGUUGUUGGAGAUGUGCGCUACAACACCCUUGCACGAGACGAAGGCAGGAAGACACAAAACAGUGCCAUCAUGAGCACGGAUACGUAUGACAAAGAGACAACUGAAAUGUAUGCUAACAUAACAGACAUUGUUCAGUUGCAGUAUAUCUCCAGUUUCGAGGAUCAUCGGUGUGUGGUUCUGUUGUGCUGUCGUUGGUAUAACCUGUUUUCCAGGAUCGCAAAACCCAGAGCUAAUGAUUAUUUCAAAUCCAUCAAUGUCAAGGCGGCGUACCAGACCAACGAGCCUUUUAUUUUGGAAAAUCAAGCAACACAGAUAUUUUUCUUGGAAGACACAUUUGCACGUAGCGAUGACUGGAGAGUAUUGCAAAGGUUUGAGCAGAGGAAUUCGUUUAAUGAAGCUGCACAACAAGAUGAUGCUUACACUGCUCCUGAUGUACAACAUAACACAAAUGUUCCUAAUAUCUUUGAGAACCAUCACGUCAAUGACGCUAGCGAAAAGAUUGCCUGUCGUGCUGUUGACAUACAAGAGUUGAUCAAGAAGAAGCCAACGUUCGAUGACGUUGAGGACGAAGAAGAAGAUGACACCUUGGGGAAUUACGAUUCAGACUGAUACACAUGGCGAAGAUGUUGACGCUGCUGCUGCGGAUGAUGAUUACAUUGCUUUUGUCGUAUUUUCCCGUCAGAAGACAUUUUUAUCUACUAUGUGAAAUUGUGUUUGCUAUGACAACUGAAACCUGAUCAACAUGUUGUUUAGUAUUUUGCUGUGAGAACAUCACUUGUUAUGCACUACUAGGAAAAGGCCUGCUAGUGGCGCACCUGUUUUGGUUACUAAUGGCACACUACAGGUGCGCCACUAGCAUCACACCAUUAGAAUUUUUUACUAAUGGCGCACCACAGGUGCGCCAUUAGUAUCUGGUAUACUAAUGGCGCACCAGGGAGUGCGCCAUUAGUAUAUCCCGCGGUGCACCAUUACUAUCUGACUUAGUAAUGGCUCACCACAUAGAAGUGCGCCAUUACUAACAAUUUUUUUCAAAUUUUUUUCAGAAUUUUUUUUUUCAAAUUUUUUUUAAAAAAAAAUUCACAAUUUUUUCGUUUUUUUCUUAAUCUCGGGUCACUAUGGCUUAAUCUCAAGCCAAUAUGCUUAAUCUCAAGUCAAAUCGCACUUCAUGGUCAAACUUCCCAGAAGGUCACCCAUCCUGAUACUCGGGUAAGACAUUAUGAAUCUUGCGUUGUUGGAGAUGUGCGCUACAACACCCUUGCACGAGACGAAGGCAGGAAGACACAAAACAGUGCCAUCAUGAGCACGGAUACGUAUGACAAAGAGACAACUGAAAUGUAUGCUAACAUAACAGACAUUGUUCAGUUGCAGUAUAUCUCCAGUUUCGA